ACAUGUCUACAACUUAGCGUUAAUGCGUAAGAUCCCAUUAGAACUCUGUAGUUAAGCGUGCUUGGGAUAGAGUAUUACUGGGAUGGGUGACUUCCCGAGAAGUCCUAGUAUUUUACAUGCC
rnacentral:rRNA from 1 species